AAUAGCCUAACGGCUGAACCAGCAACUUGAUGGAAUGUAUAGCGAAAGCUAGUUGUGCUAUAUAUGGUGCAAUAUUGACUAUGUCAAAUAAAGUUCUGGGUGGAAUUAUGAUGGUGACAUUGUCUAUCCAUGUGUCUUGACCAAACUACGUGCCAGCAGUCGCGGUAAUACGUAGAAGACUAGUGUUAUUCAUCUUUAAUAGGUUUAAAGGGUACCUAGACAGCAUAUAAAGCCCCCCUAAAAUGGUACUAAUAGGCUAGAGUUUAAUAUAAGGAGGCAUUAGAGUACUGAGAAUGUUGAGAGAUGAAAUUCUGUGAUACUAUAUAUGGCACAGGUAGAGGCGAAAGCAUCUUUUUAUGUAAAAACUGACGUUGAGGGACGAAGGCUGUGUGUAGCCAAAAGGAUUAGAUACCCAAGUAGUCUCAGCAGAAAAUGAUGAAUGUCAUAGGAUAGAUUAAUUUUUGUACUAUAAAUGAAAGUGUAAGCAUUCCACCUUAAGAGUAAUUUGGCAACAUUGGAACUGAAAUCAUUAGACCGUUUCUGAAACAAGUAUUGAAGUAUGUUGUUUAAUUUGAUGGUCCGCAAAAAACCUUACCACAAUUUGAAUAUAAAUUCUUGAUACAAGCGCUGCACGGUUGUCUUCAGUUAAUGUCGUGAGAUUGUGGUUAGUUCCAUUAAAUUAACGUAAACCCUUACUUUAUUUUCAUAUAGAGUUGUUCACCGCUAGAUUGGUUGUGAUAACAGGGACUAAGACAAGUCAUCAUGGCCUGAAUAUUGUGGGCUAUAGACGUGCCACAUAUGCCUUUACAAAGGGAUGCGAAAUUGCGAAAUAGAGCUAAUCCCCUAAAACAGGAUAAAAACUUAAU
rnacentral:rRNA from 1 species